AUUUCCCUUGCGUUUGGAAGCCCAUCGAGCGGGGGAGCUCCACCCGACCCCUGCGAUUUCCCCGGAGCCGCUCCUCCCCUACCCUUGGGUCCGGGCGUCUCUUCCCCGAGGCGACGCAGAGCGCCGCUCCUCACCUCGCUCGUCUUCUCGCCCCGUCGUUGCGGAUCUCCCCUUCCGCCGUCACCUCGGCUACCACCUCCGCGGCGUGUCCUCGUCGCCUCGGCUGCGACGGCCUCCACCCGACUCUCUGCAGAGGAUUUGGCAGAAGCAACACAUGAUUAGAGAAAAGUGAAGUGGCCUUCGUCAUUAGCAUCUGAGAAAUGUUCAUGAUCUUAGCUAGAUUUUGUUGCUCUUGUCUGACAAUUUUUAUAUACAUGCUCUUACAGUUUGUCCAUUUUUUAUGCUACUGGCAUCUAUGUAAUAUAUUGGUGUGUGAGCUGGAGGACUAUAAUUUAAAUAUUGGUGCAGAUUUUAGCUUUCAGUAGGCAGAUUACGUGUUUAUUUGGAGGUUCAGAAUAUUAGUCAUGUGCAAUUUACAGCUUACAAUGAGAAGCUUAUAAUCAAUAGUAAUAUUAGGUA